rnacentral:rRNA from 1 species
CACGUAGGGCGCGAGCGUUGUCCGGAAUUAUUGGGCGUAAAGAGCUCGUAGGCGGCCUGUUGCGUCCGCUUGUGAAAGCCCGGGGCUUAACCCCGGGUCGGCAGUGGAUACGGGCAGGCUAGAGGUAGGUAGGGGAGAAUGGAAUUCCCGGUGUAGCGGUGAAAAUGCGCAGAUAUCGGGAGGAACACCGGUGGCGAAGGCGGGUUCUCUGG